rnacentral:lncRNA from 1 species
AAAAUGCUGACCUUUUCAUGAGUAAGGGGGGAAGUCCUCCUGCCUGACUACCUUUGAACUGGGACAUGUGCCUUUUUUUUCUGCCUUCAGACUCAAACUAAACGUCAGCUUUUCCCGGCUCUCAAGCCUGCUGGUCCCUGAACUAAAACUCACAUUAUCAACUCUACUGGUUCUUAGGCCUUUGGAGUCAGACUGGAACUACAGCAUUGACUCUUCCGGAACUCCAGCUUACUGACUACAGAUCUUGGAACUUUUCAGCUUCCACAACCAUAAUGAAAGCCAAGCAUAUUCCAUCAUUUCCUAAAACCAAGAUAGAGCACAUAUGGGAACUUGUGAAAUAAGGAUGCCCUGCGGUUGUUUUCAGGACUGAAGACAACAGCUCCACGAUGUAUCUUUGCAUAAGAAUACACUUGUAUAAUAAGUUUUUUUUUUUAGAGAAAUUGCAUGUAUCUGCCUUAUAAACUUUUUCAUUCAUUCAUUUUCUUUCUUCCUAAUCUGUUCCAUAAAGCAAAUUUCUAACUUAUUGUUAAUCAAAAUAAUUAUUGAAAUAAUUAGUACUUUCAUAUGAUAAAGAUUAUUUUAAUCUGCAGCUACAAAAUAUGUAACUCAUUAAUAUUUAAACAAUCACAAUUUUCUAUUAACAUUAUAGCAUUUUAUCUACUACUAGAUCAGGAAUUAGCUAUUUUUUGUAAAAUUUCUUUGUAAGGCAAAGCAAUAGUAUUGUAUAUACUUUCCUAAAGAUUGUCAAGUUCAGUUUUGCUUAAAUUUAACAGUACAUGUGACACUUUCUGUUUGAAGAAUAAGUUGGUUUUAAGUUUAUACCAAACAAAAGCAUCUCUUUUGUUUUGCAAAAUCUGAAACUUUGAUCUUUCUAGUUGUGACUUCUUGUAAAUAUGUUUUAUAUAAAUAUUCUAUGAAUUGGUUAUUAACAAGGUAAAGAAAGAUUGAUAUGUAAGCUGAUUCUUAAACAUUAAUUUUCUGGAGAUAAACUUUUUUAAAAUUAUGCUUUAAAAAUAUUUUAACACAUGUUAUCAAAAAGGAACUGAAAUAUCUUAGGCAUAAAAGACAUCUCUAGAGGUCAUUAUUCAGUUUCCAGAAAGUACUGAAACUAUCUCUGACAGAUUGAUACGUUUUCUGCAUUUAUAGCUCUCUGGAGAGAGGUUCUGUAUAUUUAACAAUUCUCACUGUGAGGGAUAUUUUAAGUAUUUCAAAUUUAAAGUGCUCAUGUUUCAGAUUCAGAUUAUUAUUAUCAUCAUCAUUAUUUUGGUUCUGGCUUCAGUAAAAAUGUGAAAAACACUUUUCCAUCUUCUGAUAAUAUUUCAUAUUUAUAAAAUUAUUAUUAAGUUAUAACUCAGCUUUUUCAUUUAUGCUUUAAAUCCUUUUAUUAUCUCAUCACAACCAUCUUUGACUGUUUAUCAGAAAUGGUUCUCUUUUGUACAUUGACCAUUAUUUUAUAGAUCACAUUUAAGUUAAUAUAAAUCAUGCCUAUAAAUUUCAGCCUGCUUAUUUUUUAUAAUCUAGUCAGAUAUCAGCUAGACAUAUUGUUACCAAGUUUGGAGAGCCUUGGGAUAAGCUAGUUUCAAAACUGGCUGUUAGCAUCCCUCAGUUGUGUUUUGGGAGCAAAGGACACCCUUAAAAAAGGGAGGCAGUUAUAUUUUGUGAGCAUUAUAAAAUAAACUUAAAUUCUCAUAAAAUUAGUGAAUAUGUUUGGAACAGUGUGAAUUACGUGUGUGCUACAUGAAGUAUAUAGAAUUCAUUUGAAGUAGGAAGUCUGGCCUUACCUCAAAAGACAGUCAUUCAAUUAAGCAGUUAAACAUAAGCCACCAUAAGAAGUUUUUUUGAUACUUAGAGAGAGAAAGGCAACGUGUAUUAAAAUUCCGGGACCAUUAUCUCAGGAGUGCUGUGUUAUUAUUGACUGGGGGCCUGCUGGGAAGCUAGAAAUAUAUCUAAAAUGUGGCAGGUGGUUAAUUAGAGCAUAUGAAUAAAUAUAUAUAAAUUUGUUAAAGCGUUCACUUAUGGUAAACUAUACCUCAAUUAAAAAGAAAAAAUAUGCACAAAGAAAAUAAAUAAUGAAUGGAAAUAUGAGCCUCUAAAAUCAAAGUUAGAAAAGCAGAUAUUCAAAUUUGCAGAGCUGAUUGUCAACUGGAAUGAUUGUGAUAGAAUCAAGUCUCACUAGCUCAUUGGAAAUAGGAUUUGUUAAGGUAAUGAUGGUUAAUGAUUUUUCAGCAUAAUAACAGCCAAGUUAAUGUAUGGGUGCGUGUGUGUAUCCAUAGGUGUAUGUUUUUACAUGCGUAUUUUUAUUGUAAAAUUAACAUGUUUAUUGAAAACAAGAAAGCACAGAAAAUAUCAACUUAAGUAAAGAUCAACAUAAUUUAGUUCAAAAUUAUAUUCAACAGUGCAUUAUUUCAAUGUUUUUUAUCUUAAUCCAUUUGCUUGAAAGCAUUGAUAUAUGCUCCAAAUUUCCUCCCAGAUUCCACUUGGGGAAAUAUUUAGUAUAUUGGAUUAUGAAAUGAUUUAUCUUUACCUAUAUUAUUAGUAAAGUUCUUAAAAUUUUUAGCCUGUUACUGUCUAUGUGAUUAGUGAUAUUGUUCACAUGACUAAAAUUCAAAGAUAAAAUAUGAUUAUAUUUUAUGGGUGAAAGUUAGGAAGCAAAAUAGCAUAUUAAUACAUUUAACUAAAGUAGUAUUCAUUUGGAUAAUCAAGGUCAAACACUUCAAAAAUAAUAAUUUUAAAGUUAAUGCUUUCAAAAAAUAAAUUAGCAAAAAUUAUUUACUUUGUUUCUUAAAAAGAAGAAUUAUUGAAAAAAAUUCUACCAUCAAAAAAUAGUUGUUCUAUGCCUAGUUUAUUUUAGUCACUGAAUAAGACUGAGCCCUUGACCUCAUAUUUUUUCCUGCCUCACCAUUAGCAGUUAGGUUUAGCUAUGCAAACCUUUAUUUAUUCAACAUAUAUAAAAUACUUAGUAUGCAGUAGAUGUUAUUCUAAGUGCUUGGUAGAUAUCAACACAUUUAAUAAUCAAAACAACUCUAAGAGGUAAUUAGUACUAUUAUCUCCAUUUUAUUACUGAGGAAACCAAAGCACAAAGAGAGAAAGAAAAGAAAGAGAAAAAAGGAAGAAAGAAAAGAAAGAUGAAAGAAAGAAAGAGAAAGAAGAGAGAGGGAGAGAGAGAAAGAAAGAGAAGGAAAGAAAGAAGGAAGAAGAAAGAAAGAAAGAAAGAAAGAAAGAAAGAAAGAAAGAAAGAAAGAAAGAAAGAAAGAAAGAAAGAAAGAAAAAAGGAAGGAAGGAAAAGAAACACAUGGAAAGUGGUAUGUAGACCUGCCAUUUCAAUCUAUACCUUCUGCCUCUGUGCUUCUAUACCUCCUGAGUUUAAUAUAUACUUCUUUAUUUAAACAGUUUUAAUAUAUAAAUGCUAAUUUUUCUAUGAUAUAAUUUUAUAAUAAAUAAAUAAAAUUAGCUUGCUAUCAAAAUAUCCCAGUUCAUAAUUUUAUAACUUCACCUCUAGACCAUGAGUAACCCUCAACCUACCAUCUCCUCUUUUUGGACAUCUUUGGUAUUUGUAUCCCUGUUUCUUGGUCUCUAAAUAUCUCUUCUUUUAUUCAUGUGUUACCUUUCCUAAUGACAGAACCCUUUUCUUAAAAAAAGAAUUAUGAGUUAGUGUAAUGUAUAAAUAGAGACAUUAGAUGAAGGACAAAAUAAUAUUCUCCAAAAAGUUAUUUGAGGUGGCUUAGUGAAGUUGAAAAAGCAUAGUCUUUGGUAUCACAUAGACAUAAAUGUACCUUUGGGCAAAUCUAUAAACCUCCCUAAACCAGCUUUUACAAACAAAAUUGUGUUCAUUAUAGGAAUUAAAGGUAUCAAUUUCACAAAAUCACGGGCAGUAAAUUGAUAGACCUCAGAACCUAAGGCACGGGUCUGAGGAAACGAAAGCACAAAGAAACAGAGAGAGAGAGGGAGAGAGACGAAGGAAAAAGAAAGAACCAAAGAAGGAAAGGAAAGGAAAGGAAAGGAAAGGAAAGGAAAGGAAAGGAAAGGAAAGGAAAGGAAAGGACAGGCUCCCUUUGUAUAUCACCUUGCAUGGUAAAGUGCAGAGAGCUCCAUCAGAGAAAUGCAGUUAAAAUCCAGUAGAUACCACCGUACACCUGAAAGACUUGUGAACAAACAGAUGACAGAAAAACAAAACAAAGCAAAACAGAACCUGAGAAUUUGAAUUGCUGGUGAGGAUAUUGAGCAAGUGGAAUUCCUAUACUUUGCUGGAGGGAAUGGAAAAUAGUACAGGCAAUUUGGAAAAGAGUUAGACUGUUGUAUAUAAAAUUAAAUACAUACUUACCUUACAAAGUAGGAAUCUCAUUCCUAGAUGUCUUCCUAAGAAAAUUGCAAACUUUAUGUUCAAACAAAAACGAAUGUAAACAUUCACCUACAGGUGAAUGGAUAAAUACAUUGAGAUAAAUCUAUGCAAUAAUACAUAUUACUCAACAAUGAAAAGGAAUUCACUACUGAUAUGUGAAACAUGGUAGACUGAGUAAUGCCUUCCCUUCUUUCCAAAGAUGUCCAUGUCCUAAUCCCUAGAACCUGUGAUGUUACUUUAUCUGGAAAAUUAAACUUUGUAGAUGUGAUUAAAUUAAUGAUUUUUAGCUGGGUACAUCAUCUUGGAUUAUCUGGUGGGCCUGAUGUAAUCACAGGGGUUCUUAUAAGAGGGAGGCAGGAAAUCAGAGAGAGGAAAAAAGGUGUGGAGAAAUAUGUGACAACAGAAACAAUGAUAAAAUGAUUAAAAUGACACAAACAGGAGCCAAGGAAUGCUAUAAGCAUCUGAAAUCUGAAGGCAGCAGGUAAUGGAUACUCCCCUGGAGCCUGUAGAAGAAACCAGCCUCCUGACACCUUGAUUUCAGCAAAAGUAUUUUAAAUUUCUCACCUAGAAGUGUAAAAAAAUAUAUAAAUAAAUUUGUGUUGUUUUAUGCCAGUAAUUUUGUGAUAUUUUGUUACGACAACAAUAGGAAAUUAAUAUACCCAGCAAUGCAGAUGAAUCUCCAAAGCAUCAUGCUAAGUGAAAGCUUCUUUGGACCUUUUAAGUUGCAUUAUCCCAUAAAAUGUGGUGGAUUCAAUGUUGUAUGGCCUGUAAAACUAAGUAAUGAAGGCUGAUAUGUACCCACCUGGCUCUGUCUUGGGAUCACACAACUUGGGAGCCAAAACAGAUUGCAAAUGAUGUUCAAAUCAAGGACUGGCUUAAGGGAGAAAAUCAAUUAUACUGUACAACUCACACUUAAGACCUCAGAGAGAUCUAAGAUGAUUCUUUAUAUAAUUUUUAAAACAAUCACCCCUCUAAGGAGCAUAACAAUGUGUUUUAAAUGUCCUCCCCAUUAUACAGUGAGACUUAUAAGAAUCUCAAGGAUGGUGUCCCAAGGCAAACUCAUGGCAAGAUCAAGAAAGAGAAUGGCCUGUCUUGACAAGAUUUGUGGUUUUGGCUUUCGUCUGAUGGAAUGAAUUGUACACAAAUACACAGAAAUCCCACAAAUAUUAAAAUAAUUGUAUCAACUUGUAAGAAAAAGGGAAAGAAAUAGCUUAAAAUGGAAUAUUGCUAAGCCCUCAAACCUUUACAAGCAGGAAAUAGGUGUAAACAGGCUUAGGAAAAUGGAAGGUGGACUCAGGGCAGAUUGAGGAGAUCUUGGAGUGCAGCAAAGAGCCAUAGAGAGCAAUUUCCAGGGAGUAGGACUGAACUCUAACCAAAUAAUUGGCAGCAUGUGCCUGGCAUUUCAGGAUUGACAUGGACCGGUGACUACUGUGUUCCUUCCCAUUCCCCACCCUUUUGUGUAGGAUUGUCUGUAGCAGUUUCCCAAUGCCUGUUCCUCCACUUGACGUUGGGUAUUUGGAGAACAAGAAAAAUUCUCUUUUUAGGUCAGAUGUGUGACAUGUAUCACAUUGUAAAAAAGAGUGCUCAAUGAGCUGUAUUUCAGGAAUUGCACUUAAGGGGAAUUAUUUUUACCUAUAUUGGAUUAAUAUGAUAAGAUUUUGAACUUUGAGCUUAUGUAAUUAUGAAGUGAGACCUUUAGUCUUGGGGAAUGACUGUAUUUUAUAUGCGAGAGGUAUAUAAAUCACUGUGGCCUGAAGAUAGACUGUGGCAGAUUGUAUUUUUCAAAGAUUUCCUGUCACACUUUUUUUUUAUUCUUUAUUUUUCUCUUUCUUUCUCUUUCCUCUUUCUCUUUCCCUUCCUCCCUUCCUUCCUUCUUUCCUUCCUUCCUUCCUUCCUUCCUUCCUUCCUUCCUUCCUUCCUUCCUUCUUUUCUUUCUUUCUUUCUGAGAGGGUCUCACUCUGUUUCCUGGCUAGAGUGGUGUCACAUUCAUAGCUCACUGUAGCUCAAACUCCUGAGUGCAAACAAUCCUCCUACAUCAGCCUCCCAAGUAGCUUGGACCACAGGUGUGCAUCCACUCCUGGCUAAUUUUUUAAUUUUAAUUUUUGUAGAGACGGGGUCUCACUUUGUUGCUCAGACUGAUCUUGAAUUCCUGGCUUCAAGAGAUCCUGCUGCCUCAACCUCUAAACUUGCUGGGAUUGCAGGUGUGAACCACCAUGCCCAGCUACUUUCUUUUUCUUACAAUAUGCCUUUGAUGCUCUUCCCAUCAAGAGGUAUUCCUUUCCCUUGAAUAUGGGCAAGGCUGUGAUUAUUAAUGCUAUAUGACUUUUGAGAGUAGGUCAUGAAGCAUGAUACAUUUUCCUAGUUCAUUUAGGAUGCUUGCUCUUAAUACCUAGCCCCUAUGCUUGUAUAAGUCCAAGAGACCUGUUGUGGGGAGGCUCACAUGAAGAAGAACGCAGGCACCUAGCCUACAGUCUGAUUGAGCUCUCAUCUGAUAACCCAUAAGAACUUGAGAGCCUUGUGAGUAAACCAUCUUGAAUCUUUCAGGACCCAGUUGAAACACUUCAGCUGAUGCUGCAUGGAUCAUUGCGGAUUUGUGAGCAAAAUAAAUUAAUAUAGCUUUUUGUUUUAAUUAAACAAUAUUUUUUGAGACAAGAUCUCAUUUUGUCACCCAGGUGGGAGUACAGUGGCACAUUCACAGAUCACUGUAGCCUCAAAUUCCUAAGCACAGGAGGUCCUCCCACCUCAGCCUCCCCAGUAGCUGAGACCACAGCAUGUGCCACUGUGUCUGGCUAAUUUUUUAUUUUUUUGUAGAAACGGAGUCUUGCUAUGUUGCCCAGGCUGGCCUCAUGUGAUCCACUUGCCUCAGUCUUCCAAAUUGUUGGGAUUACAAGUGUGAGGCACUGCACUGAGCCCAAUAUUCCUUUUUAAGCUACUAAGUUUUGGACUGAUUUGCUUCCCAGCAGUAUACGAUUGAUAAAACACAGAAUAUAGAAUAAAAUUAAUCUCUUAUGUUGUCCUAUGAGGCUUUGUGAGAUUUAGUUUCUACCAACACCCCAAAGUCAUGUCAUACCAUUUUUCACUGUGCUUACUUUGCUUCACUGACUUUUCUCCUGUUUUCUAAAACUAGCUAGUUCUUAUCUUCAGGCUUUGUCAUUGUCAUUCCCUGCUGAGAAUAUUGUCUGUCCAAAUCUUGUAAUUCAGACUCAAAAAUAGUCUGUGGCCACUCAAUCUAAAGUAACCCACCACAAACUCUAGCCCAUCUCCCUAUUUAUUUUCAUCAUGAUAUUUAUAUCUAUCUCAUCUAAAUUUUAUCUAUUUGUCAUCUAUCUAAUUGAAAUUUCAUGUUUCUUUACUACUAAUACGCAAGCUCUGUUAAGACAGAAGUAUUUAGUUUAAUUAGAUCCCAUUUGUCAAUUUUGGUUUUUGUUGCCAUUGCUCUUGGUGUUUUAGACAUGAAGUCUUUGCCCAUGCCUAUGUUCUGAAUGGUAUUGCCUAGGUUUUUGUCUAGGAUUUUUAUGGUUUUAGGUCUAACAUUUAAGUGUAUAAUUGUGAUCUCUUCCCAGGAAAAAGGUAAUGAUCCUGGAACAAGAUAUAUAUGCCUGGUAUAUAUUUAUUAUCUUACAAUUGAGCUUUCAUUACCAAUAAGAGUUCUCUUACCUUGAGUCCUCACCCUGUGCUAAGCUCUUGCAAAACACAUCCCAGAUUUUAUCUCAUUUAAUCCUGGCAACAGUGGUACAAGGCAAAGUGAGGAUGGGGAGGUGUCAAACAAGACCUAACCUCUCAACAAUCAGCUGGACACUGUUGUGUAAGAAUGUGAAGCUUGGCACUGCUGCAGCCAUCUUGUUCCAGGAAGGGUAAAACCUGAGGUUAGAAGCCAACAUCCUAAUGAUGGCAGAGAAGACAAAGAGAACCAGAGUCUAAAUGACAUUGUUGAGUUAGAUCACUACACUACCUCUAGUCUUCUUUUUAUGUGUGAUAAUAAAUCUCACUUAUACUUAAGCCAUUUGAAGUUGAGUCUAAUGUUCAUUUCAGACCAAAGCAGCUUAACUGACAUGUUCUCCGCUUUGUUACCCUAUCCAGUUGUUUUCAUGCAGGAAAUAAA